rnacentral:rRNA from 1 species
CGGACGGGUGAGUAACGCGUGAGCAAUCUGCCUUCGGGUGGGGGAUAACAGCCGGAAACGGCUGCUAAUACCGCAUAACACAAGGGAUUCGCAUGUUUCCCUUGUCAAAGAUUUAUCGUCCGAAGAUGAGCUCGUGUCUGAUUAGCUGGUUGGCGGGGUAACGGCCCACCAAGGCGACGAUCAGUAGCCGGACUGAGAGGUUGAACGGCCACAUUGGGACUGAGACACGGCCCAGACUCCUACGGAAGGCAGCAG